ncrna:Schistosoma mansoni type-P1 twister ribozyme
UGUCUAACUCCGCCUGUAGAUCCUCCGGGGGCUACUGCUGGUCCCAAGUCCAGGUAAAGGAGGAGGGUUGGGCA